rnacentral:rRNA from 1 species
UACGUAGGGGGCAAGCGUUGUCCGGAAUCAUUGGGCGUAAAGAGCGUGUAGGCGGCCCCGGUAAGUCUGUUGUGAAAGUCCAGGGCUCAACCCUGGAAAGCCGAUGGAUACUGCCGGGCUAGAGUUCGGAAGAGGCGAGUGGAAUUCCUGGUGUAGCGGUGGAAUGCGCAGAUAUCAGGAGGAACACCUAUAGCGAAGGCAGCUCGCUGGGACGACACUGACGCUGAGACGCGAAAGCGUGGGGAGCGAACAGG